CUAGCUCAUAUGCUAAGAUUAACAAUUGUAAUCCACGAUAACCGUAUAACAGAAACAAUACGAGUAUUUAUACUUCCUUUACUAUCUCACACGUGUCUCCACUUUAUUUGUUAACCACCACUUCACUCUUCCUUUCCCGUCACUCCUCUCCCUUCUUCACUUCCUUCUGCUUCAACCUUCUCCUCUCAUAAGUAUGCUUGAACCUAUCACUUUUAUCCCGAGACUGUUUGCUGAUGUCAGGAGAAAUUGCCUUAACCUUUCAGCUGCCUCUUCCAUUGAUGCUCUUAGGUUUCUGCUGACUGAGAAAAGUCAAUUCAAAGAAGAGUUUCAAAUCAAUGACAAGAUAAUGGUGCCCAAAGAGUCGAUUAGUUUAUACAGCUUACCCUAUUCCAACACAUAACACAGUAUCAAUAGUUCCAGCAAUCUCCAUCACAAGGAAAACAAUCAAACAGAGUGAUCGAACACAUAACACAGUACCAAUGAUUCCAGAAAUCUCUAACCCUAACCAUUCUUCAAUCCAUCAGAAAGAUAAUCACAAGAAAACAAUCAAACAGAGUGAUCGAACAUUCCAACACAUAACACAGUACCAAUGAUUCCAGAAAUCUCUAACCCUAAUUAUUCUUCAAUCCAUCAGAAAGAGAAUCACAAGAAAACAAUCGAACAUUCCAACACAUAACACAGUACCGAUGAUUCCAGAAAUCUCUAACCCUAACCAUUCUUCAAUCCAUCAGAAAGAGAAUCACAAGAAAACAAUCGACAUUCUUACUCAAAUCGAAGCACCGGAGGAAAUUCGAAGACGGCACUGGAGUGGAACUCGAAGACGGCACUAGAGUGAAAUGCGACGACGGCACCGGAGAGAAAUUCGAUGCCGGUUCGAAGCCGGCACCGGAGAGAAUACCGACGACGGAACCGGAGAGAAACCGUCGAUUGCUGGGUUGCGUUUUGCGAACGAUUUGGUGAUGGACUUGGGCCUUUUCAAUAUUUUGGGUUAAUGUUUAUAUAUUUCCGUUCCGUAGAGAGCCCUGCAUUUUCCCGAAAGGCCCACGAAAUGAAUGGGCCGGGCUAGAAGUUACAACUUAUGCAAUCAAAUCUUUUUUUUUUUGUUCAAAAUGCAAUCAAAUCUAUAUGUUAAACAAAAAACAAAUAAAUCUAUAUGCUCAAAGAUAUUUUACCAUUGAUUUAUUAUUUAUGGAAAAAAUUACCUACAAAUACGAUAACUUUUAAAAAACAUAUA
rnacentral:lncRNA from 1 species